AGAGUUUGAUCCUGGCUCAGGGUGAACGCUGGCGGCGUGCCUAAGACAUGCAAGUCGAACGGGUUGGUAACAACACCGUGGCGGACGGGUGAGUAACGCGUGGGUGACGUGCCCUGGAGUUGGGGACAACCAAGCGAAAGUUUGGAUAAUCCCCGAUGGUGAUGCAGCUCCUGUGCUGUAUCUAAAGAUUUAUCGCUCCAGGAUCGGCCCGCGUCCUAUCAGGUAGUUGGUGGGGUAACGGCUCACCAAGCCAACGACAGGUAACUGGUCUGAGAGGACGACCAGUCACAGGAGCACUGAGACACGGGCUCCACUCCUACGGGAGGCAGCAGUUAGGAAUAUUCGUCAAUGGGGGAAACCCUGAACGAGCGACGCCGCUUGAAGGACGAAGCCUUUCGGGGUGUAAACUUCUGAACUCGGGACGAUAAUGACGGUACCGAGCUAAUAGCACCGGCUAACUCCGUGCCAGCAGCCGCGGUAAUACGGAGGGUGCGAGCGUUACCCGGAUUUACUGGGCGUAAAGGGCGUGUAGGCGGUUUGUUAAGUCCGAUGUGAAAGACCGGGGCUCAACCCCGGGAACGCGUUGGAUACUGACAGACUAGACGGCUGGAGGGGGUAGCGGAAUUUCCGGAGUAGCGGUGAAAUGCGCAGAUACCGGAAGGAACGCCAAUAGCGAAGGCAGCUACCUAGACAGCACGUGACGCUGAGGCGCGAAAGCAUGGGGAGCAAACCGGAUUAGAUACCCGGGUAGUCCAUGCCCUAAACGAUGAGUGCUGGGUGUCCGGCGUAUGCUGGGUGCCGAAGCUAACGCGUUAAGCACUCCGCCUGGGAAGUACGGUCGCAAGACUGAAACUCAAAGGAAUUGACGGGGCCCCGCACAAGCGGUGGAGCAUGUGGUUUAAUUCGAAAGAACGCGCAGAACCUUACCAGGCCUUGACAUCUGGGGAAUCCCGCUGAAAGGUGGGAGUGUCCGCAAGGAAGCCCCAAGACAGGUGCUGCAUGGCUGUCGUCAGCUCGUGUCGUGAGAUGUUGGGUUAAGUCCCGCAACGAGCGCAACCCCUGUAGUUAGUUGCCAGCAGUUCGGCUGGGCACUCUAGCUAGACUGCCUGCGAAAGCAGGAGGAAGGCGGGGAUGACGUCUAGUCCGCAUGGCCCUUACGGCCUGGGCUACACACGUGCUACAAUGGUUGCUACAGAGCGCUGCAACACGGCGACGUGAAGCCAAUCGCUUAAAAGCAACCUCAGUUCGGAUUGGAGUCUGCAACUCGACUCCAUGAAGCCGGAAUCGCUAGUAAUCGCGAAUCAGCUACGUCGCGGUGAAUACGUUCCCGGGGCUUGUACACACCGCCCGUCAAGCCAUGGGAGUAGGUUUCACCUGAAGUCACUGGGAGCUUAAGGCAGGUGCCGAGGGUGGGGCUUAUGACUGGGGCUAAGUCGGAACAAGGUAGGUGUACCGGAAGGUGCGCCUG
rnacentral:rRNA from 1 species